UACAGAGGGGGCAAGCGUUGUUCGGAAUUACUGGGCGUAAAGGGCGCGUAGGCGGCCUGCUAAGUCGAACGUGAAAUCCCUGGGCUCAACCCAGGAACUGCGUCCGAUACUGGUUGGCUUGAAUCCGGGAGAGGGAUGUGGAAUUCCAGGUGUAGCGGUGAAAUGCGUAGAUAUCGGGAGGAACACCUGUGGCGAAGGCGGCUUUCUGGGCCUUACCUGACGCUGAGACGCGAAAGCGUGGGGAGCGAACCGG
rnacentral:rRNA from 1 species